rnacentral:lncRNA from 1 species
ACACAAAAUCUUGCGUACAUUACUAGUUUCUACACGGUACACUAUAUACUUUUAAAAAAACGUAAUCUUUUGGAGUUUCUCAUAUAUUGAUGAGUUCCGGUACAUUUUAAACUUUUUUCAGGUAACGUAUUUAGUUAAUUAGUAUUAAGGUGUAAAUAGAG